CCUACGGGAGGCAGCAGUGAGGAAUAUUGGUCAAUGGACGAGCGUCUGAACCAGCCAAGUAGCGUGAAGGAUGACUGCCCUAUGGGUUGUAAACUUCUUUUAUAUGGGAAUAAAAUGUUCCACGUGUGGGAUUUUGUAUGUACCAUAUGAAUAAGGAUCGGCUAACUCCGUGCCAGCAGCCGCGGUAAUACGGAGGAUCCGAGCGUUAUCCGGAUUUAUUGGGUUUAAAGGGAGCGUAGGUGGAUUGUUAAGUCAGUUGUGAAAGUUUGCGGCUCAACCGUAAAAUUGCAGUUGAAACUGGCAGUCUUGAGUGCAGGAGAGGUGGGCGGAAUUCGUGGUGUAGCGGUGAAAUGCUUAGAUAUCACGAAGAACUCCGAUUGCGAAGGCAGUUCACUGGACUGCAACUGACACUGAGGCUCGAAAGUGUGGGUAUCAAACAGGAUUAGAUACCCCAGUAGUC
rnacentral:rRNA from 1 species